GAUUAACUUCCAAAUUUAAAGUUAAUAUGUUCCUGGUAAGAUAUUCUUCACACAGCCUCAUCUGCAGAAUUUACACCUCUAAGAAAAAUCUUUGUCUUUUCAGGUAAAGACAAACAUACCGCAUAUAAACAGGACUCAGUGAUGUAAUCGCAUUUGAUUUGGAGUACCUGCAUGAUUAAGCUUCACUCCUGGAUUCUCUGAGUACCCUGCAGGAGCACCAACAUCAGCUGUGCAAACUCCUGGGUGGGCUGGAGUACAAAGAAAUGUGCUACACGCAAGUCACCGUGUGUAUCUGUUGGGGCACACCUGACAGCAUGGAACUACAAUCUGCAAGCAAUGU